AGACAAUUUGGCUGAGUGGUUAAGGCAAUUGACUUGAAAUCAAUUGGGAUUUUCAGCAUAGGUUCAAAUCCUGCAUUGUUGA
rnacentral:tRNA from 1 species